rnacentral:lncRNA from 1 species
CUCUGACUUUGUGCAUGAUGUUUCAUCACUGCACAUGCAGCCCACUAGAUGAUCUUUUUUUCACGUCUGCCUCUCCCCUUGACUACGGUUCCUUGAGGGUAGGUAGGCUUGGUAUCCGGUGCUCACAAAAUGCCUGUUAAGUGCAUGCAUGAAUGAAACUACUUGGCAGCUACUUCAUGUCUUCUUAUUAAGCCUCAAUAAUAUAAAAUAUUAGUAGUUCACUACCAAUUAAGUAAAGUAUUACGUAAAUCUAAGGCUGAAUUAGAGGCGUUGCUCAGAUGUAUUCUUUUUUUAAAUUUCAAAGGUAGCCCGGGCUUGAGGUAUGCAUCCCCCACUGACCGGCUGAAUGACCUUGGGACCAGGGAUGUGCCAGUUUCUUGCUGUUGCUAAAGCCCAGGCGUCUCACCAUCAGGGCUGGCUCUCAGACCCUGCUGCACCUCCGUCUCUUCAUUAAAGUCUGCUCCUCUAAGCCAUCUAGAGUGAACUGUUUCCUGUUAGGAUCCUGACCAAUGAUACAGCUUCACCCCUUACUUUCUGUUGGCUUUCAGCAAUCAUCAUCAUCAUUGAACUAAUAAUAACACCAGCCACCACUUACUCAGGGUUUGCCAUAGGCCAGGCACCGGUCAAGUGCUUGAGAUGAUUUCAUUUAGUUCUCACCAUUUCUACCUCUGUGAAUUGGUCCCAUUUUACUGAUGAAGAGCCUGUGGCUUAGAGAAGUAAAAUAACUGGCUUGCAAUCACACAGGAAGAGACUCAAGAGCUGGAUGUGUCCAACUGCAAACCUUCUUUCCAGAACCCUCUAUCCUGACAGUGAUAGAAUGAGCUCCAGGCUAGGAGUAAGGCCUGUCCUGGCCACCUCCUAGCUGUGUGGCCCUGGGCACAGGACAUUUA